UAGCAGAUGAUUAAGUCAAAAUUAUUGAAGUGAUAAGGUUUUCAUAAGUCAAAAGGUGAAAUGAUGAGAUGAAAGGUGUCAAAUUUUGAUACAAUAAGGCUAAAUCAUUGAAAAUAAGGAAUUUUCAUCAACCUUAUCACUUUGCACGACCAUUACUCUGAAAAACAGAGAGAAAAGAAAACCAAAAACCAUUUCUUGGCUGGUUUGAAGAAAUUCUAAGGAGAUCCAAGUGAAAGCAAAGCCAAAGACGUAGAUUAAGCUUAGUUAUAGCCUUUUUAUGAUAUUUCUUGGGGUUUCCAAGUGGUUUGAGGUUUAGAAAAGCUUGAAGAGAUUGUUUUCGCCGAAAAGUUGCUCGGUAGAGAAAGAAAUGUGUGAAUGACAUGAGGAGAACUGAAGCAUGGUCCUGACCCUGAUUUGUACAUAUGAACAUAUCGACCUUUUGUGGGUUAUUUCAGUUAUCAGUGAGAUGUUUGUAAUAAAGUGUGAAGUUAUGUUUUGAAAAUAAAUUGGGUUAUUUAAUACUUA